CCUACGGGAGGCAGCAGUGGGGAAUAUUGCACAAUGGGGGAAACCCUGAUGCAGCGACGCCGCGGGAGUGAGGAAGUAUUACGGUAGGUAAAGCUCUAUCAGCAGGGAAGAAAAUGACGGUACCUGACUAAGAAGCCCAGGCUAACUACGUGCCAGCAGCCGCUGGAAUACGUAGGGGGCAAGCGUUAUCCGGAUUUACUGGGUGUAAAGGGAGCGUAGACGGCUAAUCAAGUCAGAAGUGAAAACCCAGGGCUCAACCUUGGGAGUGCUUUUGAAACUGAGUAGCUAGAGUGCAGGAGAGGUAAGCGGAAUGCCUAGUGUAGCGGUGAAAUGCGUAGAUAUUAGGAGGAACACCAGUGGCGAAGGCGGCUUACUGGACUGUAACUGACGUUGAGGCUCGAAAGCGUGGGGAGCAAACAGGAUUAGAUACCCCAGUAGUC
rnacentral:rRNA from 1 species